rnacentral:rRNA from 1 species
UCUCAACCCAUGUGAACAUACUAUACGUGUGCCUCGGCAGGGUACAUCUGCUCUAUUAGAGUGAUGUGCAACCAGCCUGCCGGCGGUCCAUUAACUCUGUUUCUUUUUGAAUUCUGAGGUUAUAUAAAAUAAGUUAAAACUUUCAACAACGGAUCUCUUGGUUCUGGCAUCGAUGAAGAACGCAGCGAAAUGCGAUAAGUAAUGUGAAUUGCAGAAUUUAGUGAAUCAUCGAAUCUUUGAACGCACAUUGCGCCCAUUAGUAUUCUAGUGGGCAUGCCUGUUCGAGCGUCAUUUCAACCCUUAAGCCUUUGUUGCUUAGCGUUGGGAGCCUACGGUAGCGUAACUCCUCAAAAUCACUGGCGGAGUCGGUUCACACUCUAGACGUAGUACAUUUUAUCUCGUCUGUGAGUUGGGCCGGUCCCCUGCCGUAAAACCCCUAAUUUCUAAAGGUUGACCUCGGAUCAGGUAGGAAUACCCGCUGAAACUUAAGCAUAUCAAAGGGGGAGGAAAAACCUUAAAGGUGUGAUAACUCCCAAACGAUGUGAACAUACUAUACGUUGCCUCGGCAGGCUACAUCUGCUCUAUUAGAGUGAUGUGCAACCGCCUGCCGGCGGUCAUUAACUCUGUUUCUUUUUGAAUUCUGAGGUUAUAUAAAAUAAGAUAAAACUUUCACAACGGAUCUCUUGGUUCUGGCAUCGAUGAAGAACGCAGCGAAAUGCGAUAAGUAAUGUGAAUUGCAGAAUUUGUG